GCAGUCGAGCGGCAGCGCGGGGGCAACCCUGGCGGCGAGCGGCGAACGGGUGAGUAAUGCAUCGGAACGUAUCCUGUAGUGGGGGAUAACCCAGCGAAAGUUGGGCUAAUACCGCAUGAGCUCUGAGGAGGAAAGCGGGGGACCUGAAAGGGCCUCGCGCUGCCGGAGCGGCCGAUGUCCGAUUAGCUAGUUGGUGGGGUAAAGGCUUACCAAGGCGACGAUCGGUAGCUGGUCUGAGAGGAUGAUCAGCCACACUGGGACUGAGACGCGGCCCAGACUCCUACGGGAGGCAGCAGUGGGGAAUUUUGGACAAUGGGGGCAACCCUGAUCCAGCCAUGCCGCGUGAGUGAAGAAGGCCUUCGGGUUGUAAAGCUCUUUCGGACGGAACGAAAUGGGCGGGACUAAUACUCCUGUCCGAUGACGGUACCGUAAGAAGAAGCACCGGCUAACUACGUGCCAGCAGCCGCGGUAAUACGUAGGGUGCGAGCGUUAAUCGGAAUUACUGGGCGUAAAGCGUGCGCAGGCGGUUUCGUAAGCUGGAGGUGAAAUCCCCGGGCUUAACCUGGGAAUGGCCUUCAGGACUGCGAGGCUAGAGUGCGGCAGAGGGAGGUGGAAUUCCACGUGUAGCAGUGAAAUGCGCAGAGAUGUGGAGGAACACCGAUGGCGAAGGCAGCCUCCUGGGCCAGCACUGACGCUCAUGCACGAAAGCGUGGGGAGCAAACAGGAUUAGAUACCCUGGUAGUCCACGCCCUAAACGAUGUCAACUAGGUGUUGGGGAAGGUGACUUCCUUAGUACCGCAGCUAACGCGUGAAGUUGACCGCCUGGGGAGUACGGCCGCAAGGUUAAAACUCAAAGGAAUUGACGGGGACCCGCACAAGCGGUGGAUGAUGUGGAUUAAUUCGAUG
rnacentral:rRNA from 1 species